UAUACUCCAAGGGCAGGCAGCGUAGCUCGUGCAGCGUCGUCCUGCGCAAUCUGGCGCUUAAGGGCACGCUGCUGCGCUGGCUUUGAUGUUCCAUAUUCCAUAUUCCUUGCAUGGAAAGGACUUGCUUGGGGACCCAGUGGCAGGUCAUCUCCAUUCUGAAGCACGAGAACAUGGCUCAAAAUAAGGGACGAUCAGCAUGGCCCACGUUGAUGUCUUGACAGGUAUCAGGAUUCCAUUCCUCUCAAAGCGCUGCAUUUCCUGGGUCACUCCUUCCUUAAGAGCAAAAGGCAGUGGUCGCGGCUUGAAGAACUUGGCUGUAGCAUCUUGCUGCACAUGAACAGCAACUUCCGGACCCUUGAAGGCCUUCUUUGAAGACUCCGGAAAAUUCGAAUGACAUGCCCGUGGUGUCGGAGAAAGAACAUAAGUCAUGCUGCACGACAGAAAAGUCUAUGCCAAGCGCAUUACUCCAGUCACGUCCAAGUACAGUGGGUGACUCAUCCUCAGAGAAAUACAAUGAUCACUUCACGAAGUGGGUUGAGCUCUAUCCCUGCUGAAGUUGAUGUAUGCCCAGAUCAGGAACCGACUGCUGGAUGUCUUUUCGCAGUUUGGAUUCCCGGACCAGCUCAUCACGGAUAACGUCUCAUACUUCACAAAAUUCGUCGUCAGCCACAUCAGAAGCACAGGUCCGUCUGCGCGCGAAAUCGAAGCAAGGAUGAAGCCUUUUCGCCGCGUGCUGAGCGAGAAGCUGUGUGACCUGCGUAAGAAUAAAACUUGCUGAGUGUGA